rnacentral:rRNA from 1 species
CACGACACCUAACCUACUAUUGGGAUCGGUGGUAGGGGUAUAGGGUCGCGGGGAGGAAGUGUCGGUGGCGGUACGAGGACUGACCAAGAGGAGAGGGCAGCAGCUCGAACGGAGGCGGCGACGAGAGGGGACAGGGAGAGCGUGGUGGUUGCGCUUAGGAGGGUACAUGUGCCACUCGAGCUGCUCGUUCCGACUGCAAACCCGUGACGAUAUGCUCCCGGUACGGCUCUUGCGGGAUCUCGUACCGCCGGAGACGAAGGCGAAGAGUAGGCUACCCGUGGAGGCGCACACGCUGCUGGAACCACGGUGGCGACAGUGGUGGUUACGUCCCGGUUUCCGCUGCCGACGCGUAGCGGUAGUGGUCCUGCUCGCUAUUCCGGUCUCCGCUGCCGGCGCGCAGCGGUAGUGGCCCUCCUCGCCGCCGGCGGCUCUGUCAGCAGGUACAGAGAUCACAGUAGCCGGAAGUCCCACAACAAGGAGAGUAGAGUCGAUACCAAGAACAGGAAGGAGAGUGAAGAAAGAGAGGGCGGUAGCGGUAGGGGUGGUCCUCGUGUGCCUGCUGAUUAGUCAGGUCCAGACUCCGCCACACCAGAGCGUAGCGGGGUGAGGGGAAGUUCUUGUGCCACGGGAGUGGAGGAGAGUAACAACCACCAAAUCUAUGCCCGGUAACUACUAGGAACCACCACGGGACCGGCGCUGUUUCCUCCUCCGCGCUGCGACACGCCCUCUACCCCUCCAGCCCUCCUCCAACAGCGUCACCACCCCGACGUGAAACGCCGAACGUUACUCCGCCGGCACCUGCGGCGCCACCUCCGCCGCACCGCGACGAAACCGUUGCCGCCCGAGUUUGUGGGACCAAUUGACGAAGAGGAUACUUCCCCUUCACGUUCUGAUGGAGUCGUAUUGACUUCUCUCAUGAGUGUGGAACCGACGAUUAUUUCCGCUACCGCUUCACCAAGGCCCUACGCGUCAGGCCGCCAAAGUACCAUACGAACUGGGUCUAGUAGUCACGACGCUCUCCUAAGAUGGGUUCCCGACACCGUAUGACGUGCUCAAAUCCGAAACAAGUAGUCGAGCAGUCUCAAUCGGAUGGAAGGACAAUGUUUCUCCGAAUUUACGAGUGUCUUUAAGCCUUACGGAUGUACUAGUAAUUACAAGAAACAACGACAGUAAGAAACGAAGACAGUUUCUUUUAGAAACGACACUCGUGUAAACGUGGUAAAUCACUCGUAUAAACGAAUACUAUUGGAAUACUUCAACAUGAGACGAAGUUGAGUACAAAGAUGGGAUUAUACAGAUUGACCAAGAAAAAUAAAAAAAGCAGCUCCAUAAGGUUCCGCCGCACCGUCGUGACACCUGCUGUAGUCGUACUGGUCUAGUCACCACUUUUAUGACAGAAACAAUACAGAGUAAGACAACUUACUUAUCAAUGAAAUAUACUACGACCAAUGCCAAACAUACCUCGAUUGUUGACAAUACAAACGGACGAUAAACGUUUCAAACAACCGAAACCAGACGAUGAUGUUGAACGUGUUAUUCACGUUAGCCUAUUUACUGUGUUGCACGUGUUAUCGAUGAACUAUACUCGAACACCUCUUUGAACUCCUUUGUUCCAAUUAUCCUACGUAAAGUCAUCUCGAACUAGCACGUCUAAAAGAACUUAAUUUCGGAUGACUAUUUCGAUUCCAAAGAUACCCACUUUCCCCAACAUGGUUAAAUGUCCUGGGUUUCACCGUCUUCUAAGAUGUCGACGCAUUUGGUAGUCCAUGAAGCACUCACUACUAGUUAGUUAAGCUUCUUGGUGAACGAAGCCGUGACAAUAACGGGUUGAUACAUAAUAUGGUGACCGAUGGUUCGGCAAAAUCACUUAAAGAUAAACUGGUAAGUGGAAAACAUCCUUACAGAACGAGACUUAUAAUACAACGUAGUUUUAACAACCUACGAGAGAGUCCGGAACUGACGAAACAUAUUUAUAUGUCAUAUAUUUCGUAAGACACAACCGGGACAGA